GCCCGCCUAGCUCAAUUGGAUAGAGCGUCAGACUUUUAAGAAUGCGGGUAUUCAGCACUACAUUUGUAGGAAUCUGAAGGCUGCGAGUUCGACCCUCGCGGUGGGCU